UACAGAGGCCCCGAGCGUUAGUCGGAAUUACUGGGCUUAAAGCGUGCGCAGGCGGUUUUGUAAGUCUGUCGUGAAAGCCCCGGGCUCAACCUGGGAAUUGCGAUGGAGACUGCAAGGCUUGAAUCUGGCAGAGGGGGGUAGAAUUCCACGUGUAGCAGUGAAAUGCGUAGAGAUGUGGAGGAACACCGAUGGCGAAGGCAGCCCCCUGGGUCAAGAUUGACGCUCAUGCACGAAAGCGUGGGGAGCAAACAGG
rnacentral:rRNA from 1 species